GCUGUCCUCAAAGGCUAUGAACUACAGUCUCCUAGAGCUGGUGAACAUCGCCGAUCAUUUGUUCUGAUUCCAACCCAUUUCAAAGAUGGUAAAACUGAGACACGGGAAAAUCAUAAAAGGGUGCUUAGGGCACUGGCCCAAAAAGGGUACUUAAGGAUUUCUCCGCCCAGAUGCCAAAGCCCUAAGGUCAGCCCCAAAUGACCCGUGUUCUGCUUUAUACGUCUAUGCCACUGUUGGGGUUAAAGCCCUAGGCACGCAGGUCUUGCCUCAACUGCGCCUGCGCGAGUCAGGACGUGCGCUUGUCCCAGAUCUUGGCGUUUCAGGCGGCCCCUCCUAAUCCGGAACACGACUCACAUUUCGUUGGUCUUGCCUUGACAGACGUGACCCUGAUCCAAUAAGGGUGGAAGGCUGAGUCCCGCAGAGCCAAUAACGAGAGUCCGAGAGGCGACGGAGGCGGACUCUGUGAGGAAACAAGAAGAGAGGCCCAAGAUGGAGGCGGCGGCGGCUGUGGCGGCGUGACAGGAGCCCCAUGGCACCUGCCCAGCCCCACCUCAGCCCAUCUUGACAAAAUCUAAGGCUCCAUGGAGCCACCACGGGGCCCCCCUGCCAAUGGGGCCGAACCAUCCCGGGCAGUGGGCACCGUCAAA
rnacentral:lncRNA from 1 species